AGGGGACGGUUCUCCGGACUAUUGAGGCGUAAGGGCUCGCAGGCGGUUUCUUAAGUCUGAUGUGAAAGCCCCCGGCUCAACCGGGGAGGGUCAUUGGAAACUGGGGAACUUGAGUGCAGAAGAGGAGAAUGGAAUUCCACGUGUAGCGGUGAAAUGCGUAGAGAUGUGGAGGAACACCAGUGGCGAAGGCGACUCUCUGGUCUGUAACUGACGCUGAGGAGCGAAAGCGUGGGGAGCGAACAGGAUUAGAUACCCUGGUAGUCCACGCCGUAAACGAUGAGUGCUAAGUGUUAGGGGGUUUCCGCCCCUUAGUGCUGCAGCUAACGCAUUAAGCACUCCGCCUGGGGAGUACGGUCGCAAGACUGAAACUCAAAGGAAUUGACGGGGGCCCGCACAAGCGGUGGAGCAUGUGGUUUAAUUCGAAGCAACGCGAAGAACCUUACCAGGUCUUGACAUCCUCUGACAAUCCUAGAGAUAGGACGUCCCCUUCGGGGGCAGAGUGACAGGUGGUGCAUGGUUGUCGUCAGCUCGUGUCGUGAGAUGUUGGGUUAAGUCCCGCAACGAGCGCAACCCUUGAUCUUAGUUGCCAGCAUUCAGUUGGGCACUCUAAGGUGACUGCCGGUGACAAACCGGAGGAAGGUGGGGAUGACGUCAAAUCAUCAUGCCCCUUAUGACCUGGGCUACACACGUGCUACAAUGGACAGAACAAAGGGCAGCGAAACCGCGAGGUUAAGCCAAUCCCACAAAUCUGUUCUCAGUUCGGAUCGCAGUCUGCAACUCGACUGCGUGAAGCUGGAAUCGCUAGUAAUCGCGGAUCAGCAUGCGCGGGUGAAAUACGUUCCCGGGGCCUUGUACACACCGCCCGUCACACCACGAAGAGUUUGUAACACCCGAAGUCGGUGAGGUAACCUUUAUGGAGCCAGCCGCCGAAAGGUGGGACAGAUGAUUGGGGGUGAAGUCUACAGGGGGGGACCGCCGAUAAAGGGGAGAAAAGGGGGGCCCGAGGA
rnacentral:rRNA from 1 species